CAUGUAUAGGUUUUCCGUUAUUGUUUGUGUGGCACCAAGGACUCCGCAGGCCUAUAAAUGUUGAAGGAAUUUAAAAAAUAUGAACAGUUGUACUCCAUAAGUCUACAGAAGUGUAAAGUGAGACAUUACUUUUAAUACAUAAAAAUGCUGGCUAAGUUGAUUGUUCUGUUUGCCGUGGUGGCUGUGGCUCUGGCUAGGCCGCAACUCUAUUCUGGCUACGGCUACAGCAACUACGGUGUCGGAUAUCCUAGUUAUGGCUACAGCGGAUAUUCUGGCUACAGCAGCCCUGUCGCGUACGGUGGUUACGGUGCUUAUGGUGCUUCGCCAUACAACUACGGCUAUGGAUACGGCUACUAAAUCUAGAAUUCGUAGUGAUUUUAUGUUCGUAAAUUCUUUUAGUUGUCUUUAGAUUGGCUUUAAACUCAUAAUUCGGCUCGCUGAUUAUGUUUUAUUCGUUUGUAUAAAUUGUUUGUUUUUAUGAGAAUUAUAUGGUUUUUGUAAACAUG